CCAACCAGCUGGACUGGCACCGUGUGUUCUGGGCACUCAGCCCAGAGCUGGCCCUGGAGGUGACACCUGGCUCACCCUGGGUCACAGCAGUGGCUGUGAAUGUCAGCAGGACCCUCCUGUUCCUCCUCCUGCUCCUGGCUGUCAUCAGCGGCUGUCACUGGUGGAUCUGUGUAGCUGCCAGGAAGCCCCAGGACAGCUCAUUAGACUUGGCUUGAGAUCGUUUAUCAGCAGUGUUCUCCCCCGUCCGUGCCCAGACAACAACAGUGUUCCAGCAGACUGUGGAGGAGUGAAUCCAGUCCCUGAUAACAAAUUCUGUGCUUCUUCUUCUCCCUGCCUUUGCUCUCAGCCAGUCUUGAAGGCACAGAAUAUAAUAUCCAGCAUAAAUGGAACACCUGAUUGGGGAUACAAGCAUCAUAAUGUCACCCUAGGACAGGGUCAAACCAAACAAAAGGAUUCCCAGAACAUGUAAACUCAAAAACAAUGUUUGCAUAUGUAUAAUCCUCAUGAGUAUGUAUUUAACCAAUACAAUGAAAAGGUGUGUAAGAAUUGUUGUAGGUAACCAUGUGCAUCUGGCAGUUGCCAAGCACCCAGCAUGCUGUUUACUGACCCUUUUAUCCCUUAUUAAACAUUUACAAAUUUUAAAGAGUGAGACUUGUUUCUCAUACAGUUUAACCAAAAAGCUGCAUUUUGGGUGCAGUAAGAGGGAAAAACAUUGCGUGCCCCCCCCCACCAGCACUGGAAGGGGAAAUGAGGAGCCCCGUGGGGUGCUGUGAAGAAGAAGGGACCCUGGGGGAGUCAAUGCCCCUCAAUGUCCCCAGUACCCCCCAGUGUUGCAGCACACUCUUGUGGGUAUCACAGGGGUCCUGCUGUCCCUUGUAGGGUCCUGACAGCUCUGCGCUGGUCCACAGUAGGGGAUGACACCCAUGGGUGAUGUUUCCCUGUACUUACCCCCCUCGUACUCACCCUCUGCCCACUCAGUU